AGAUUCACUAGGUGGUCCAUGGCU
rnacentral:miRNA from 1 species